AUUUCCCAGGAAGAGAGUUUUAAAAUUUACAACCAAAAAACCCCCAGACUGGAAGAGGGGAAGAGGAAGAAUUAUAUCCCUGUGGGGUCUACUUCAGGCUUUCAUGUCAAAGAUCUAGUUUCAUGGAUCACUGCUAAUGAAGCUUUCACAUAUGUACCGUAAGUAUAGGUACAUUUUGUUCAACAGAAGCCAGUUUUUAUUUCCUGUUCCCAUACCCUCUCACAGGAAAAUGAGCUUGCUCCAGUCACAGAAGUUCUUCAUCUCAGUGCACGAAAGAGAAAUCGAGCAAAAAAGCAAACUCGCACCAUGAGAAAAUUAAGCAUCAGAAGUUACGCCAGUAACAAUCAGAAGAGAAGGGCAGGAUCUAAAGAAGUUGGUAACUAAUCAUUGACAUCUCGACAGCUUGCCCACCCCCUAAGUAAAUAACAGUAAUAAAAAGCUUCAUUUCUGCUACUGUUACCUUAUUACCUCAGAUACUGAAGCCACUGCUGUUCUUGGGGACAGAAAGCCAGAAGAGGACAAGGAACACAACAGAUUCAUCUGAACAAAAGAAGGGCUGUGUUUCUGCAUGUCCAUUCCAGAGUACUCCAGCAAGAAGGACACAUGCAAAAGUACUUGCAAGGUCUUUGUCUAGAUUUUAAAGCCUGUGCUUGGAAAUACCAGGUAGCAUUGGAAGGCUUGUGUGAAAUGACUGAUCUAUAACAUGUUUUUACAGGUUAAACACCAUUGGUUUUAACUGAACACCUAUUUAAUUCCUUCUAUCCCAGGAAAAAUACCCACACAUUACUGGGAACAGACAUUGGUCAGUUUUGUAUCCUGGGCUUUCUAUUAGAAUGAUUGAAACAUGGCAUUAUUGGCAAAUCUGUCCUUUUGCAGCUCAUGUAAUAAUGCUGUUUCACUGCCUAAAGAGUUUAAGUCAGCCCAAUAGCACACUGUUAAUUCAAAUAUUUAAUCUUUUUAUUUAAGGAAAUUGACUUUAUUUAAGUCAAGGCCAGACGUGGUAUUUUGGGUGGUCAAAAUGACUGCUGUUAUUUGCAUCAUCACAGCUGUUCUGAGGAAGACAAGGACUUUUUGGAGCUGGGGCAGAGCAAACUGAGCAAUAGUGUUUCCCAGUGUGCAAUGAGGGACCACUGCUGCUCCACCAACAAGGAAGAAGUGAAACAACUGGAUAAAUCCUGCCCUUCAAACAUCAAAAUCCACAUAUUCCAACACAUACUAGACAACAAACAAGUGUAAUGGGUGGAAGUGAAAAUGAUAAAAUAUUGGUAUGCUUUUGUGUUGGUUAUAAUGAUGGAGGUUGCCAUGCUGCAGAAGACUUAAGUCCGCAGGUUUUUCUCUUUCCAGAAAUUACAGAUGGUACUGACAUUCUUCUUCAAAGACAUUACAGUUGUCGUUAAUUGGUACUGGCUGAGAGAUACCUCCAUGAUAACUAUAAAGACACAAGCAGCUCUGAAAUUCAUGGAUCUCAGUCCUGCAGCAGGCAGGUAGAAAACCCUUCGCAGUGCUGCCACCCAACAGGCGUUCUCUCUCCAUUAUUGCCAUUAACACAAUUCUCUGCCUGUCUCUUUGAUGAGAGCCAACAUCAGUAAGCAUUACAAGUGGAUUAUUGCUUUACACUGCGUGAAAGAUGUGUCUAAUAUGAAGAAGUAAGAUUAAUCUGGCUAAAAUCAGUUUAAGUGAAUGAUUGCAUAUUGAAAUGAUUUGUAACAAUAAGACUGAAAAUUUAUGGAACUCAGAUAUGCAGCCAGAAGGUGUUGGAAUUCGGGGAGCUGCUGAAUGUAUCUCUUGUUUGUGCUACUUUAGAUAUAAUAAUUCCACUUACACAUUUUGUUUGUAGUGUACUGCACCAUAGAUGGAUGUCUGCACACACUUAUGCAUGUUUGUCCGUACACCUCCGGGGAGAAGAAAAACUGAUGGAUUUUUCUAAUUCAAGAUCAAGAUAUAUAUUUUCAUAGAUGGUCCUAUUUGGAAGGAAAUGUAAUCUGUUGGCAUUUGGGUUUAUGAGUGAGCAUACGUAUCUGUGCAGCAACAGAACGGUGUAACAGAAAGCUGGCCAAUUUAUUCUUAGUACAGCGUCCAACAAUUCACCUUUUGAUCCUCCCCUUUUCACAGCUGUUUGUCAAGGAAUGAUUACAGCCUGAAGGAAGCCUGGACGCUGAGAAACAUCUCAUCUCUAUGCGCAAAUGAUCAUUUUUCUCCCAUUCAAGAAGGUUUCAGUGUUACGUAGGUAUAGCUGUGUGAUAGAGAUGCUGCAGUCAGAGUAGGUGGAGGGGUCUGGCUCGUACCCCACCAUGGGACUGGGUGAGCUCAUGGUCUCGCAUAAAUCACCACUGUGGGGAUCUCAGCUCUGAGCUUCAGGUUUCCAGCUGUAAAACAGAGUUAAUAUCAUUUCCUUAGUGGCCCUUUUCUGUCUCUUUCUUCCAAAGAGGCUUUCACCUUGGUAUAUUUGGAAGGUGACUGCCUUUAGUCUCUCUUCAUCCUGUGGCCAAAUGAGCAACCUCCAAGGGUGAAACAGGAGCCACACCAAGGUCUGAGGGCCAGAUAAGAGGAGGAAAAAGCCCUUAAGAUGACCCUACCACAGGAGGGUUUGUACUUGCUAUCUGGGAUUAGCAGAGGAGAGCUAUCUGGAUUUCCUCAAGCUGCUCCCAUGGAUGAGAUCUUACCCUUCCUUUCCUUCAGGGAAACCAGUGCAGGAUGUGCUGCAGGUUGCAGAGACCUCCUCCACCAGCUGCCAUCACUUGAGAAUUUAGUGCUGGAUCCAUCCCUUGGCAUGCUCUGAGGGAUUCACUGUGCUUCUGCUGCAGGAAAAGAGAACAGAGGAGGGGCUGAGGCUGGGGACAGUGAGAUACAGCCUUGCUCCAGCUGUAGCAAUUACCUGCGCUGUCAGACAAACAGCAGGUCUUAAAUUUUGAACAGAAGGGACUAAAUGCAUCCCUGGAGUAACUCCAGCAAUUUCUGCAGGUUAUAGGAGAAAGACUUUGGCCCUCCAUCUGGUUUAUGCAGGGAACUAAGUAUUUUAUCUAACACUGAGUCAAACGACUGAAAUUAUUUCUUAGAUUGAGAAGUUUGGUGUUAAAGCCAGAGGAAAAACACUCACUGCCGAUGAAAUUGACCUCUCUAUAUUUCUAGUGCACAUUAAGCAAAACAGCAUCUUUCAGAUAGAUGCUGAUAGUCAUUUCGAAAUUUCAAUUUCAAGUGCACUAGUUGAUUUCUAUAUGAAUUAGAAUUGCUUCUUACUGUCAUUUUUCAAAGGGUAGGUGUGAGACCGAAGAACUGGCUUCCUUGAAAAAUCCUGCAGCUUAGAUUUUGACCCUAAAUGCUUGUAGCUGGGUGCAUUCAGUAGGACUAAAAAAUACCCUAACAGCUAAGGCAUGAGGUAGUGAUGUGUUUGCAUGACAUGUAGUUCAGUGGGGUUCUCAGCACUUCUUGCAGGAUGAUAAUUCUGGCUACUUUUGUUUCCAGUGGACAUUGCAUGGGCUUCUAUUCCCUGAGGAGUGGUGUGGGAGGCUUGACAUCACGUUCCCCAGCAUGGCAUAAGGGCAAUGGUGGCAGAGCCCAUGUCUGGUGCUUCAGUCCUGCUCCUGUCCCCCAGGGUAACGUUCCUGCUGUGACUGCAACAAACAUGUUACAGCUGAAAAAGGAAGGAUGAAGAAAGAGGCUGAGGAUGCUUAUCGGAGAAGGAGGCUGCUGGACUGUAUUUCCAGGGAGGCCACUUCUGUUCAGCUCAAGUCUCCUUUUACCCAUCUGAUAUGUAAUGCUUAUUUGCCCAGUGUGGUGUCAGGAGACUUCACUGGUGUAUAUGAAGUUCUUUGAUGC